GUCACACCCGUUCCCAUACCGAACACGGAAGUUAAGCUCUCUAGCGCCGAUGGUAGUUGGGACCUUGUCCCUGUGAGAGUAGGACGUUGCCAGGCU
rnacentral:rRNA from 6 species